UCGACCCAAGCCGUGAGGGCAGGGAUCGACCCGAGCCGUGAGGGCAGGGAUCCGCCCGAGCCGUGAGGGCAGGGAUCGGCCCGAGCCGUGAGGGCAGGGAUCCGCCCGAGCCGUGAGGGCAGGGAUCGACCCAAGCCGCUUCCGCGGGCGGGAGCUGCUCCGCGCUGACAGUAGGGCCUCUGCCAGCACAAUUCCCGCCAGGAAGGCUUUGUUUGUGCCCCACACAAACUGUUCCAAGGCUGGAAACUGCUCUCAGAGUGACACAGAUGCCCCUGGGCUGUAACGCCAUGGCCAGACGUGUGUCAGCUCCGAGCUCCGGGCUUUGGAGCACACACGCCAAAGGAGGUGAACCUAUUCCGGGGACGUGGGACUCCAGCAGAUUUCUGGGCACAAAAACCAGCAGGUUCAGAUGGAAUGCUGGGAUGGAGCUGCCACCAGCACUGGCCUGGACACCCGACAGCUUCUCCUUCACAUGGGAGAGUGGGGCAGCGGGAUGGACGGAGCCGACAGCAAGGCAAUGGGAAAAGAACUUACUUCUGCCUUCUCCCUCCUUCAUCUGAUUGCACAUAAGCAAAGAAGGGAAGUAAUACCACAACAUAUUGUUUGCAAUAUGCUCUCUUGGCCAUAGGGAAGGGAAACAGUUAGGAGAUUCUUUUAAAAGCACUUAGCAUGACAUACAGUCUUUAUAUUUUGCUUGGGUGAUGCCUGCCUUCUGCUUGUCUUACUUAUUUAGGUUUCAAGUCCUCUUAGCAAGAGUGUUCCUCUCAAAUACAUUUUGCAAAUCCAGCGAAUAGUUUUAUUAUAAAAUAAUUAAGACAUUAUUAACAUUCAUCCUUACAGCUUCCCACUCUCCUGACUUCCUCACCAUACUGUUCCUGCUGAAAACACGAAGUUCCCUACCACAACGCUUGCCUUUCUCCAGAUACUUUGUCUGGAGACAAUUAAAGAAAAUCAGAAUGACAACGAUUAUCAAAGGCAAAAGAUAAUAUCAUAUUCAAAGAACAAAAAUAGGAUAUGAGACCUCAAAAUAUCUUUACACAAAUAUCAAAGUUAAAAAGAAGGAAAGAGACUUAAAAAGAAAUUAUUAAGUAACAAAAGGCUCUUUUUUUUCCCCAUGCCCUUCAGAUCAUUCAUGGCAUUCUGAUUUGAAAGGAGGAUGACAGAAAGAGUGGGAGGUUGUCUGAAAUUUUACACUGGAAACAAACAGGUGCAGACAAUGAGAGAAUAAGUGUGCUGAAAGCUGCAGUUCUCCACUAAGAAAUGUUAAUGCACAAGUCAAAUCUAUCGAAGGGGAAAUCGCCUCCCACAACAAAGGGAAAAUGUAGAUGUGACAGACAGAGAGAUGCCAGGCAACAAUCAAAGAAAACAGAUAUCUAACCUAGUUAUUCAGACAUGCAGUAUAACUCCUAUUAUCCUCCCAUUAUUAUGAGGAUAGUGACAUGUGCUGGAAAGUCAUACACAGUGUCCCAGGACACACUUGAAACACAGCAGAGAAGCUCUUGACUUCAAGGAUCCUAUAUUCAGUCUCCAGUGAAGACACAGGGUGAGAUAUUGCAGAUCUAAAGAAUAUCAUAUAGUUAAAAGCUGUCAGAGGAGAAAAGGGGAGAUCAGCUGUCUUGAGAGAUAAGCCACAACACAGGCUCACCACAGAAAUAUACAGAAAUUAGGGCUUAACAAGUUCCCACACUGAACAUAGCUACAGAUCUGGCACACAAAAUUUGUAUUCUCUAUAUUUACUUCUGUAUUAUCUCCCAAAUGCUUUUAUCUUGGUUAAAAGAGCUUUAAUUUUGGAAGGAGAACAUCUAGUCACUUUGUCAUUACCCCUAAUAAUGUGAAUGGGGAACAGAAUUUGUCAGUCUUGCAGCGGUGGAAACAGCUGGUGUGAAACCCUCCAGGUUCUCUUUGUCCAGCUUGGCAACUGCAAGCACAGUCCCAUUGUGCUGUUACAAUCACAGUCUCCUUAAGAAUGGAGACACUUUUCCAGAAAGAAGGAAAGACUGAGCAGUGUCAUUUAUAGCAUAAGAGAGAAUGGGGUUGUCCUCCAGCAAGAGGUUUGCAAGGGUGAGGAAGAUGGUAAGGAAGAGUGUGUCAAGCAUUAGCUGCUUCUCUUCUGUUUUUUCCUUUUGUUACUCCUUUAUGGUUUUAUUAAUCUCUUACAAUCUGGAUUUCAAUGAAACCUUCAGUUUUAUUCCCCAGUUUUUGUCCUUGUAGGAUGAUUCCUUCUAAUGGCUAAUCUGGAGGUUUGCUUGUGGCUUUGACCUCACCCUGCCACUUUGGGAUUAAUGAUACCCACCAAGGUGCACCUGAUCAGUUGCACACACUGACAGAAGCAUCCCCUGAAUGAAGCAGCAGCUUUCCCAGAGUCCCUUUUGGGCUUGUUGGGAGAAAUACAUUGGGAUGGGCCGCUCAAAGCACUAUCAAGGGAACAGAAAAAGUUUAAAUUUUAACAGCCCAUUCACAGCACCCAUUCUUACAAACACCCUGUCCAAACAUGAAUCCUGAAAGGAGUAUAAAAAGAACUUUCCACUUCCCCAGAAUCCAUUGCCCCGUAAAGAUGGAGAGAAGAGGACACACACUUCAGCCUGAUACAUCCACAGCACUUUGUAAAACAAACUGAUUUCCCUGGGAGGGCUGUUACUCUCGGCAGCUUUUCCCCAACCUUUCCUUUAUUCCAAAGCCAUUUCAGGUACUGCAUUUUGCACCUCUAAGUGCAGGUUAAAAUAUUGUACAACAGCUAUGUUUCAACAGCAGCACACAGCCACUCAGUAGACAAAGAUGUGCUCAGAGCUUCAUGAAUAUAUUCAGCAGUUAGGAAUUGGGGAGAGAGGAGCACAGGGACAUGGAUUUACUGUUUGCAUUCAUUUCUGGGCAUGAAACAUUUUUCUCUCAUUUAAAGAACAGUAUUUGACUAGUUUGACAUGUUGAAGAUCCAGCUGGAGAGCAGCACCAGAUGAGACCAUGCUCACCAGCAACAAGGAAAUGUCUCCAGUGCAUGUUUCCUUGCCAGUGGUUUCUAGGAAGUGACAGGCGGCGCGGGAUCCGCGGAUCAGCCGCUUCAUUGUGCUCAUUCCACAUUCCGGCGCUGGAGAAGGCACAUGUUGGGAACUCACCCCACUGCUAAGGAGAUCAGCACCGUGAUAGCAAACGGGGGGAAAUUGUCCCAGGAGAACUGGAAAGAUGGGAGCAGAGCCCUCCCGACACCUCAGGCGGUGCCUGUGCUCAGGUAGUGCUGGUGGGAGCCAUGCUGACCACUCUGUUAUGGAGCCAGGAAUACUC
rnacentral:lncRNA from 13 species